UACGAAGGGGGCUAGCGUUGCUCGGAAUCACUGGGCGUAAAGCGCACGUAGGCGGAUUGUUAAGUCAGGGGUGAAAUCCUGGAGCUCAACUCCAGAACUGCCUUUGAUACUGGCGAUCUCGAGUCCGGGAGAGGUGAGUGGAACUGCGAGUGUAGAGGUGAAAUUCGUAGAUAUUCGCAAGAACACCAGUGGCGAAGGCGGCUCACUGGCCCGGUCCUGACGCUGAGGUGCGAAAGCGUGGGGAGCAAACAGG
rnacentral:rRNA from 1 species